rnacentral:rRNA from 1 species
UACGAAGGGGGCUAGCGUUGCUCGGAAUCACUGGGCGUAAAGCGUGCGUAGGUGGCGUGUUAAGUGUGAUGUUAAAUCGUGUGGCUCAACCAUAUCGAUGUGUCGCAUACUGGCAUGCUAGAGGACAGCAGAGGCAAGUGGAAUUAGUAGUGUAGCAGUGAAAUGCGUAGAUAUUACUAGGAACACCAAUGGCGAAGGCAGCUUGCUGGGCUACUCCUGACACUGAGGUACGAAAGCGUGGGGAGCGGAACAGG